rnacentral:rRNA from 1 species
AUUGAACGCUGGCGGCAUGCCUAACACAUGCAAGUCGAACGGCAGCGCGGGGGCAACCCUGGCGGCGAGUGGCGGACGGGUGAGGAACACAUAGGAAUCUACCUCAACGUGGGGGAUAACGUAGGGAAACUUACGCUAAUACCGCAUACGACCGAGAGGGGAAAGCGGCGGACCGCAAGGCGUCGCGCGGUGAGAUGAGCCUAUGUCCGAUUAGCUAGUUGGCGGGGUAAGAGCCCACCAAGGCGACGAUCGUAGCUGGUCUGAGAGGAUGAUCAGCCACACUGGAACUGAGACACGGUCCAGACUCCUACGGGAGGCAGCAGUGGGGAAGUAUU